GGGCCCGCACAAGCGGUGGAGUAUGUGGUUUAAUUCGAUGCAACGCGAAGAACCUUACCAGGGUUUGACAUCCUGCGAAUCUUUUGGAAACGAGAGAGUGCCUUCGGGAACGCAGUGACAGGUGGUGCAUGGCUGUCGUCAGCUCGUGUCGUGAGAUGUUGGGUUAAGUCCCGCAACGAGCGCAACCCACGUCGUUAGUUGCCAGCAUUUAGUUGGGCACUCUAGCGAGACCGCCGGUGAUAAACCGGAGGAAGGUGUGGAUGACGUCAAGUCAUCAUGCCCCUUACAUCCUGGGCUACACACGUACUACAAUGCUACGGACAAAGGGCAGCAAGUUCGCGAGGACAAGCAAAUCCCAUAAACCGUGGCUCAGUUCAGAUCGUAGGCUGCAACUCGCCUACGUGAAGGCGGAAUCGCUAGUAAUCGCAGGUC
rnacentral:rRNA from 1 species